AGUAAUUUAGUUAAAUUAUAAUAUUAAUUUGUCAAGUUAAAGAUAAGAAUAUUCCUCAGUUAAUA
rnacentral:tRNA from 1 species